AUGAAGUUGUCUGGUUUGGAGAUCAACCCCGACAAGUACGUUGACAUGCAGCACAAACGGAGAGUUCCAAACAAUGGGAAGAAGUGGCAGUCUUUGGCUGAAUUUGCAGCCAGCCUCAUCCACCCAUCCUACAAGGAAAUGAAGCAGAAGAUCAACAAGAAAUUGGACGACAAACUAUGGGGGGACAACCCACUGCCAAACAACCUCAUCGAGUACGCAGCAAAAGAUGCGUACAUCACCUACGAGGCAUGGAAGAAAAUCGAAACCAUCAAAGAAGGUUUGAAGCAAUGGCAAGAGGCGGAGGAUCAUUGGGAUGACCCCUACUACUGGGGAUAUUGA
rnacentral:rRNA from 1 species